UUACUAUCUUCAUUUAAAUACCUGGCUACAUGAAAGAAAUAGUUCUCAAACUCAAUUCUGGAUCUCUUUCCACUGCACGACAGUUACUGUGUGGUCUUGGACAAACCACCAGUGUCUAGUGAAUAGACUCAUCUGGGCCUCAGUAACAUAAUUUACAAAAUGAAGGGCUAUGCUUGCAUCAACUGUUUCUAAAGAGAGCAACAGGGAAUAACAGCUAUAUAGAAAGAACAUUAACCAGAGCUGUUGCUUCCCAGCUUCGCUCAAAUCCUGUUUGAACUAAAAACCCCACAUUUCCUGGUUGGAGUGAGCAAUUCCCUUGGCACCUCUAAUCUCACUUGGAAGCUACUAAACGGUGACUGAAUGAUGCCAUUAACCAAAGGAGAUGGGAAUUCUCAGCUUGCUCUUUCAGCCACCAACCCUGCCUGCUGCCAUGCUCACCCACCAUGAUGGUGAUGGACUCUUACCCUUUGGAAAUGUUUCCUCGCUGAUUUGAAAUGCCACCACUGAACUCUUGAUUGAACAAGACGAAAUGAACACACUGAGUUUAUCUUGCCCAGCCUUCUCUGAAAGUCUAACUCAGUGACGACAAACACAGUAAAACAAUGUAGAAAGGAAUCAAUAAACAGAAAAAUGUUGCUCAGAGCAAUUGUUUAAUUCAGAGCAAUUACAAUUCAAGCAAUGUUCUUCAAAAGAAAAG